GAUGAACGCUGACAGAAUGCUUAACACAUGCAAGUCUACCAAGAAUCACUUCGGUGAGGAAUGGUGGCGGACGGGUGAGUAACGCGUAAAUAAUCUGCCCUUUAGACUGGGAUAUCCUUUGGAAACGAAGGUUAAUACCGGAUAUUAUGAGAUGGACGCAUGUUCAACUUAUGAAAGCUAAAUGCACUAGAGGAGGAGUUUGCGUCCCACUAGCUAGUUGGUGAGGUAAAGGCUCACCAAGGCCACGAUGGGUAGCCGGCCUGAGAGGGUGAACGGCCACAAGGGAACUGAGACACGGUCCUUACUCCUACGGGAGGCAGCAGUGGGGAAUAUUGGACAAUGGACCAAAAGUCUGAUCCAGCAAUUCUGUGUGCACUAUGAAGGUCUUCGGAUUGUAAAGUGCUUUCAGUAGGGAAGAAAAAAAUGACGGUACCUACAGAAGAAGCGACGGCUAAAUAUGUGCCAGCCGCCGCAGUAA
rnacentral:rRNA from 1 species